rnacentral:rRNA from 1 species
UACGUAGGGGGGCAAGCGUUGUCCGGAUUUAUUGGGCGUAAAGAGCGUGUAGGCGGCUUGGUAGGUCUGCUGUGAAAACUCGGGGCUCAACCCCGAGACGUCGGUGGAAACCACCUGGCUAGAGUCCGGAAGAGGAGAGUGGAAUUCCUGGUGUAGCGGUGAAAUGCGCAGAUAUCAGGAAGAAUAUCCGUGGCGAAGGCGGCUCUCUGGGACGGUACUGACGCUGAGACGCGAAAGCGUGGGGAGCGAACAGG